rnacentral:tRNA from 1 species
CGCCUGAUGGUUUAGUGGUAUAAUUCACCCUUAGGGUGGGUGAGACCCGAGUUCGAUUCUCGGUCAGGCCC